UGUAUGUAUGGGCAUGUAGCAUGUGAUAUGUGUGUGUAGAGUAUGUUUGUGUGUGGUAUGUUUGUGUAUUUGUGGCCAUGUAGUACAUGAUGUGUGUGUAUGUGUGGGUCUGUUCGUGUAGGAGGGGUGGAGGGAGGUGGGGGAGUGUUGGUGGAUAUAUGUGGACGUGAGUGGUGGUGGAUUGGGAGAAAACUAGUGUAUGUGUGUGAAAUGAAUGUGUAUAGGUGAAGGAGGUCAUGCACCUCAAAACACCUGGCCUUCUAGUGGGGCAAAGAUAGAGUUAGGGUUUUGUUUUACAUACAUACAGACAGAAAUACAGACAGACAGACAGACACACACACACACACACACAAAUACAAACAUACUACGUGUCCACACUCAUGCACUACAUCCUCCACAUCUGUUCCUUUACACGUGCACAAAUAUUCCUCUAGGUUUAUGUCCUAGACAGUGUGCUGUAUAGAGGAGGGUGGGUGUGAAGUGGACGUGUGUGAGGCAGGUAGCAUGUGGAGGUGUGUGCCUGGUGGACAUGCACAGGGAUCUGUGUGCUGCAUGGGAGUGGGUGGGGUCGGAGAGAAGAUGGAUAAAGGCCAUAAAGAUCGUGUGUGAUGAGUGGGGUAAGUACACGUGGUGGAUGCUCAGUGAAUGGAUUCUGAGCAUGUAGGACUGUGACGUAGAUUUAUGGGAUUAUAUGUGGAUGCUGACCGGACAGAGGAGUAUAUGGAAUAGAUAGGGUUAGAAUAAUAUGGGGGAUUUGAGUGUGGAUAUGUGCAAUAUUUGUGUGUAUGGACAGGCAGUGGACCUGUGUGCGAGAGGUGGGUGCAGAACCUCUGGGUGCGAUGGAAUGUGUGCCUUCAACCUUAACCCUGGGGCAGCCCGGCCUCCUGUGUAUGUCGCCUUCUAGACUGAGUGAAAACCUUGAGAUAUGAGAAGCUGUUAUCAGAUGUCUGUAAAUUGUAACAAAACGCUUACCAGUGUUCGCGGUGAUAAUACUGCCGGAGAGAUAACGUGUGUACCUACUGCCAUCUGGUGGACGACAUGGGGAUUGCAGAUGAGGUGAGACGAUAGGUUUGGGAUUUGUUAGCAAGAAUAGGUUUUGUUUUGAUUUGAUUGUUUUGAUUUAGCCCACUUCUUGGUCACCACCUUCUCAUCGUCCUAAGAGUCAGAUUCCCUCUGUUGCGGAUCUAGUGAAGGAACCAUCUUCAGCACUGGAGCUUAGUCUGGGCGAAGUUUACACAUCUGGACUCUUUCGCAGUCCUCGCACAUAAUCUUGGCCGUGUAAGUCGUAUCCUCAACAUGCACCAGUCCGUAGGUAGCUGAGUGGAUGGAGCAGCUUGGUGGCUGAGGUCACUGAGGGAGAGAGGUACGGAGCUCCUUGUACCCACUACAUAACGCCACUCCCCUCCUUACACUGUGCAGGAAUUAUUAAUUAAUUCUGAAAUCAAUUAUCCUUACUCAUAAAUCGUCUAGCAGUGACUAUGCUCCUGUCGAGAAUAGUCAUGACCUUUCUGUGAAAUUUAUGCUUGCAUAAUAACGUUUAUGUCCUCCUCUGUACUAGCACUCACAUCGGGGUAAGUCAUGGCAGUGCCUGCUUGUCUCUGCUGUCUUCAUGUUGGCUAGCUACUGCUGAAUAGCAACCACUGAAAGAAUGAAGCCUUGCCGGUGUUCAGAAGCCUCCAGCCCACCCAGGCCAGCCUCCUGUUCCCUCAGAUGUCCCUGCCCACCAGGGAACUGCAGAGUCCACUAGAGACUGCUUGCUUCUAGAUACCCUGACACACAGCUUGCUCCACUUAUCCUCCAACAGCAGAGCCUCCUGUCCUUCCACUGCCUGAGGGCAGCGGUCUAUGGGACAAAGCAGAUCAUUGUCAUGGAAAGAUCUACAAUGUUGUAUGUUCGAGGAGGGAUCAGCAUCUUCAUCGCAGUGAAAUCCAGCAUGUACCGUCCUUUAUGCAGACUUUAGAAAGUGCAUGGACAUAACUCUGCUUUCUCUAAGGCCACGGUGAGAAGAGUUUCCACAGGAUCUGUAAACAUUCAAGCCCACAGAAACCACAUAAAAUCUAAAA